GAGGAUGAGACAAACGAUAGACUUUUUAAUAUCUUUGAAGACAGAGAGGAUGGUCGGAUGACUGAAGUCGAUCUUAAGGUUCUUGAUUUAAACGGACGAUAAUACAGUUGGAGAUGAGCGAUUUUCCUUGGUUUUUUGGCGAAGCAAGCAAUGGUUUUUACACCUUUCCCAAUUGCUGUUCCUUCUUCGACAAUCAUCUUAUUGCUAACGACAGUUCUUUUCCGUCUUCGGUUGUUUUAUUCGUCAAGUUUUCUUUUUUUUUUUAUUUUGGUGCCUUUUUAUCUCUGUCUUUCUUUAUUCGACUUCUAUAAUCUGAGCUUGAAGAAUGUCGAGAAAGUUCUCACGGAACCUUUUAUACAAUAUCGUUUAUCUGUCACAUUUUCACCUUAAGACAGACGAUUGCCAGUUUUUUCGAACAUUAGAUUUAACGCGACACCUGUGUUUAUCAUUUCCUUGAUUUAAUACAAUCGGGGACAAGAGUCCACGAGGCGGGUU
rnacentral:lncRNA from 1 species